GGGUUGUGAGGUUAAGCGACUAAGCGUACACGGUGGAUGCCCUGGCAGUCAGAGGCGAUGAAGGGCGUGCUAAUCUGCGAUAAGCGCCGGUAAGGUGA
rnacentral:rRNA from 18 species